UUAAUAAUAUAAACGUCAGUGUUAAAUUCUGCUUGUAACAUCUUACUCAUAUAUACAAAACGUUUACUAUAUCGAUUCAAUCAUGUGUCAGACAACAGCAAUUGUGUUAUCUUUUGUUUUGAUGUUUCAGUGUGUGUCUUGUACGACAACUGGGACUGCCCAAGUCACAAAUUCUACUGCCCAAUCACCGGGAGCUGGAAGCACAACGAAGAGUACAGCGGGUAUUACAUCAAUAUUGCCGGCAAGCACACCAGCACCAAAUAUGAGUACACCUAUAACGACAACGGGAAAUUCAGCAAACCAAAUUACCUGUGGAAGUAAACUAGUUUUCACGACAAUCAUCACAUGUUUAAUGGUUUCCAGAAGCAUCCAACUGUUUUAAUCGUUUUUACUAUUACGUUGUGUCUUACAAGAUGCUUAAACCAUUGCCAUGACUGUCCUUAACUAAGUUGUUCACUUUGUAAUUUAACUAUUUAAUGUAGGUUUUAAAAAUCUAUCACAGAAGAACAUGCUUUAUACUGAUAGAAUAACAAAAUGCUUCUGGAAAAAAAACAAGCCUACGUAUGAUACACCUACUAUGUGUUUAUGACCAGCCUACGUACGAUACACUUACUCUCUAUUUAUUACAUAUAUCACUUGUUAACGGAUACGAAGCAAUAUCAUCCGCUUUUUUUAAUUUUAAUUUUAGUGUUUAUUUUUGUCUUUUUUACUAUCUAUAACUCUUACUCAACAUAUUAUUCUUGAACAAUGAUAUAAACUAUAAGGCAGUUACACAACAACGUAUUGUAUAAUUAUUCUUGUUUUGCUGUUUGAAUUAUUGAAGUUCAAAAGACUUUUAAAUGGUAAAGGCAUAGUAUGAGGUCAUUAUUUAAAUUCAAAUUCUAAGUGGAAAGUAUUGUACUGUCGGGGGGGGGGGGGGGGUUGAGCUGCCUACGACAGACCACGCUGACUUUGAUUUAGAUAGUUACCUCACACUGUACAUUGUUAUACGACCAUCUAUUGCACGUUAGGCAAUAGUAGUGUGUAACUUAAUAUCUAUUUAUAUAUUCGAAUUCAUGGAAGUUUGAAAUAAAUGAUACGUCUCAAAAAGAUCCAACUACUAUCAAUCCAAUGACCCGAUGAGUGUUUAUAAUUCUAUUGAUAUAAUAUUUUUUUGAAUAGUCAAAUAAAGCUGACAGCCUG